rnacentral:lncRNA from 1 species
UUCUCCACUUGAACAGCAAAAGCUACAACAUACCAUCAUAUUAAGAUUUUCCCUUCUCCUUCUCCAUCCUUUAGCCUUCGUAUCUAUAAUAUGCCAAACCUCAGUCAUGUUAAAACACAUCAGAAUGCUUAUUUUCUUGACAUACAUACUUCUUUUCACUAUCAGAACUGUUCCUGAGAACAUAUUAUACUCCUUUAUUGCUAUCUACUCCUCCAAUUUUACAGCUUUAUGCAGGGAUUUAAUUCCCUCCUCCCCUUCAGUUUUUGUUCAAAGUUUCUUAUCAGACUGGCAGAUAACCAGGUACACACAUUCUCCUAGCCUUCAGCGGAUGGGCCUACCACUUUGGGAAUCUUAAGGCACACUGAAGUUUCUUUUUUUCCCGCUGCCACUGCCCCUUUAAGCAAGCAUCAAGUUUUGCUUUUCUGUGAAUUGGAGUAACAGGAUCAAAAUUUCUUGAUAUGCUUUCCUUGUUUCUUCUGACUGGUUCAACUGCCCACAAAAAAAUGAACAGUAGCUGGAACCCUGCGAACCUGACAAGUUUUUACAGAGUUGGCC